rnacentral:rRNA from 1 species
UUGUAAACUUCUUUUAGAGGGGAGUGGAAUGCCUGCAUGAAUAAUGCAGGGUGACAGUACCCUUUGAAUAAGCCACCGGCUAACUACGUGC